GAUGGUUUAAAUACCCCCAGCUCACCGGGCCGAGCCUGAAGGGAGGAGUGACGGCAGGGCUGCGAUUUUGACCUUGUUGUUUUUUUCCUCUUCUGACAGUGUUUUCAGACACUGCCGCUGCCCACAGCGAGCAGGGCUUGUGCCGAGAGGAGGAGGGGAACUCUGCAAGGCAGGUGAGGCUGAGUAGUGAAGAGCAGCAUGGACCUGGAUUUGCUGAACAUGUUUGUCAUCGCUGGUGGCACUCUGGCCAUCCCCAUCCUGGCCUUUGUGGCCUCAUUCCUCCUCUGGCCCUCGGCGCUCAUCCGCAUCUACUACUGGUACUGGCGCCGAGCCUUGGGCAUGCAGGUCAGAUAUGCAAACUACGAUGACUAUCAGUUUUGUUAUUCCUAUAGAGGAAGGCCUGGGUACCGGCCGUCCAUCCUGAUGUUACAUGGGUUCUCAGCCCACAAAGACAUGUGGCUGUCCAUAGUCAAGUUCCUGCCAAAGAACCUGCACUUGAUAUGCGUGGACAUGCCUGGGCACGAGGGCACGACCCGCUCGGACUUGGAUGAUUACUCCAUUAGUGGGCAAGCUAAGAGAAUACACCAGUUCGUGGAGUGCAUCAAGCUGAACAAAAAGCCCUUUCAUCUGGUUGGCACUUCCAUGGGGGGGAAUGUUGCUGGCGUCUACGCUGCUCAGUACCCAGAAGAUAUUUGCAGCCUGACCCUCAUCUGUCCUGCAGGCCUGCCAAGUACCACAGACAGCAAGUUCAUCAAGCAGCUGCGGGAGCUGCAGGAGUCCAAACGCAUUGACAGGAUCCCUUUAAUCCCCUCCACGCCCGAGGAGAUGGCAGAGAUGCUGAAGCUUUGCUCCUACGUUCGCUUCAAGGUGCCACAGCAGAUCCUCCAGGGCCUCGUUGACGUUCGCAUCCCACACAAUGAAUUCUACCGCAAACUGUUUUUAGAAAUCGUGGAUGAAAAGUCCAGGCACUCUCUCCAUGAGAACAUGAGCAAGAUCAAAGCACCGACACAGGUCAUCUGGGGAAAGCAGGACCAGGUCCUGGACGUGUCUGGUGCCAGUGUUUUAGCAGGUGCUAUUCCAGACUGCCAUGUGUACAUCCUGGAGAACUGUGGGCACUCUGUGGUGGUGGAGCGGCCCCGCAAGACAGCCAACCUCAUCCUGGAGUUCCUGGCGCUGCUGCACAGCAUAGACAACAACAAGAAGCAGGCAUGAGCACAGCAGGGAGCCAAGUGCCCAUGCCAGGUUAAAUUGUAAAGUACUGCAGCUUUGAUACGUUCUCAGGGAUCUUGUAUGAAUUGGGGUCAAUGUGCCAAAGUCCCUGAGGAAGGCAGAAUCACUGAUACCUAAACCUAUAGCACCACUGGCACAGCAACCUGGGGUCAUUGAGCAACCUCCAUAGAUGCAGGAACAGAAGCAGAGUAUCUCCCUUUUCUACUUAGAGGUAAGGUAGAAAUGAGCUGAAAUCACCCAGUGCUCAUCACAUAGCCACCCAUCUUACCUGGGUUACCAGCACAUAGUUGUUCAUGACAUUUACCUAAACUAUAUAUGAAAUGUAGGAAGAUACCUGAAAUCCUGGACUGAGACUGAGACUUACAAUGUUUUUACUACGUCGAGUCCAUCGUGUUGCAUGCUGCUGUGCUGUAAGAGAACCCCCAAGUGCUCCAGGCGUCUGCUUGAGUGCUCUUUGUGUAGCUCCUUAUCUCAUGAUUUAUGCAGAAAACAACAGAAAACUCCAUGUGUGGAAGUCCAAUGACUGUAUGUGCAAAAAUGUUUACACUUCGAGUGGGUUUUUCUAAAUCUCUGAAUAGCUCCUGUGUAUUUGUAAUGCCUUAACAUUGCCCAGGGUGUGGUGUCUGUGCAGAACCUUGCCCAGGGUUGGUUCUACCUGAGGGUGAACACAGCCAGUGACAAUGGGGUGCAGGCAGCAGCUUUGGCACCGCUGUGGAGCCGGGGCAAUGGGAACCGCCCGGGGUGAUUUGGCCCCUGAGCCCGAGUCAGCAAUAAGCCCAUGGCCAGGGUGUGAUUCACCACCUUGGGUGAACUCUUGUCUCAGCUCCUCUAUCACAUUGUGCUGCUGAACACCUGGAUGUAAAUAAUGAUUUUCUUAAUGAAUUCUGUGAAUUCUGCAAAAGCCAAUGCCACAGGAACAGGCGUGAGAGGUGGGAGGGGGCUGUGUGUGUGACCAGCACAGGGAAUGGUGAGGAGGGGUCAGCUCGCCCACGGGCAGUGGUGGGGAAGGUACAAUGUACUUCUGCAUCCUCUCCAUGAUUACAACUCCUGACCCAGGGAGGCUGGAGGUAGAAACAGGUAAUACAGGCAAGCUGCACUUUACAGCCUGCAAGGUGAUGUUCGGGGAUGGAUCCUGCACAGGUGUGUCCCUCACUGCACUUUACAGCCUGCAAGGUGAUGUUCAGGGAUGGAUCCUGCACAGGUGUGUCCCUCGCUGCACUUUACAGCCUGCAAGGUGAUGUUCAGGGAUGGAUCCUGCACAGGUGUGUCCCUCGCUGCACUUUACAGCCUGCAAGGUGAUGUUCAGGGAUGGAUCCUGCACAGGUGUGUCCCUCGCUGCACUUUACAGCCUGCAAGGUGAUGUUCAGGGAUGGAUCCUGCACAGGUGUGUCCCUCGCUGCACUUUACAGCCUGCAAGGUGAUGUUCAGGGAUGGAUCCUGCACAGGUGUGUCCCUCACUGCACUUUACAGCCUGCAAGGUGAUGUUCAGGGAUGGAUCCUGCACCUCUCCAGGUGUGUCCCUCACUGCCUGUCCCAGGGCAGAGUGCUGAUCCUGCUCUCAGGCAGGACCAGUGGGUGCUGGAGGGCAAGGCAGUGUGUGGAGCCUCAAAGGCAAAGCAGCAGGUGGCUGUCACCCCUCAGCCACCCCCAGCCCUCCUCAGGGGGUGGCAGUGGGUGCUGUUAGAGUGUUCCACCCCCAGUCCCCGACUGGCAACACAGGCUUGUGGUGCUGACAGCUUCCUGAGCUACCCAGAUCUGUACAUACAUCCCUGUCAGCUUCUUGGCUCUUUUUAAGAGAAGAACCAUUGUUCUUUUAGAAAAAUAGAAAUUUGCUGUUAAUUGCUUGGUUAUUGUUUCUACUACAGGAGUUGAUUUAACAACCAAAAUUGCUGAUAGCUUUAUGUGGUAAAAGCCAGAAAAACUUGUUCGGUAUCUAUAUGGUUUCUCAUGCCACAGAUUGCUGUAUGCAAAGGAUUUAUAUGGCUAUUAAAAUCUAGUGAUUUAAGGAGUC